GUUUCUACAUACACCGAGAAUGCAGCUGAGAAAAUAACUGACAGCAUGCUUUGACAGCGACUGACAGUAUUUUCGGUGAGAGAAUUCUCCUCGGCACGCAAAGAACGAUGGUGCUGAGAGAAUUUGACAUGUUAAGAUUGUGUCAUUUGACAAUCGAGUGUUUACUUUUUACAGCUCCUUCAUUUCAGUUGAAGCGUGCGUAUACCGACUGUAUGGUUGAUAUUGAUUUUGAUAAUUGCAAUUGUUUGUUUUUUUCCAGUUCCAAAAUCGAUUCCACGCAACACUUUAAACGUAAAUAACAAGAGCAAUGGAGCAGAAACAGAGUAAAAUAAUGUCUGUAAAAAUGACGGAAGACGCCACUCUUUUAUUCAUAGUUGAGGUCGAGCAAUAUCUUUCCAUAUGGAAUCCAAAGUCGAAGUAUUACAAAAAUAAAGACAUUCAGCAUGGUGCAAAAUUUCGUCGCCAUUUGACAUUCCUGUUGAUAAAAUGAAAUCGAAAUGGAUUUCUUUGAGAGGUUCAUUUCGACAUUACAACGGCUUAGUAACACAAAGCCGCAUAACUGGCUCGGGUGCUGCGGAUGUGUUAGAGCCCACGUGGCCUUAUUUUAAUGCCAUGAAAUUCGUUCUGGGCACCGUAGAUGGUGGUAGUCGUCUAACUUCUCUUGUCGAGCCACGGGAAGAAGUGUCAACUAUGAACGACGGUAGUAAUUUUAUACAAUUAGAUGAAAACGCUUGGGAGGUGGAAUACUUAGAAGAUUCUUUUAUGUCUCCACAAAUUGAAAUGUCACAAUCGACACCAGUAACCAGCUCAACUAAACGCCGAACAUCACGAAAGAGGAAGAACGUGGACGAUAUUUGUGACGAAACAAUGAAUAAUUUUUUAAAGUCUGUAACCAAAAUCAAUGAAAGAGUUGCUGAGCUAUCGCAAUCUGAAGACAGUGUUUACGUGGCGGGAUUCCACGAUAAACUGAAACAAUUAUCUCCUAGCACGAAACAAAAACUAAAAUUAGAAUUUGAUACUCGACUGCUAGAGGAAUUAAAAAAAAAAUACAAUAAAGAUAAUUCAGGCUGAAAUUUUCAGUAAUACAGGGGUUCUCGUA